CUCUGUGGCCAUACCACCCUGACUGUACCUGAUCUUGUCUGAUCUUGGAAGCUAAGCAGGGUCAGGCCUGGUUAGUACUUGGAUGGGAGGACAUUCAUGGUAAGAAGGCACAACCCUCC
rfam:Macaca mulatta chromosome 7, whole genome shotgun sequence.